rnacentral:sRNA from 1 species
AUCGGACAACGACAAGCGAAUGGGAGGUCGACAUGUUCUUCGACAACGUAGUUAUCGCAGGCGUGGUAACGGUCGGGUUGAUGGUCACGUUCUUUGUCGGUCUGGGCAUUUUCAUCUGGAAGGAUUCCAGCAAGCGCAAGCCGCGCUGACUCUUCCGGAAUCACGAGCACGCAAGGCAUUUAGGGCGACUUCGGUCGCCCAUUUUUUUG